rnacentral:rRNA from 1 species
GACGAACGCUGGCGGCGUGCUUAACACAUGCAAGUCGAACGGUGAAGCGAGUGCUUGCACUCGUGGAUCAGUGGCGAACGGGUGAGUAACACGUGAGUAACCUGCCCAUCACUCUGGGAUAAGCACUGGAAACGGUGUCUAAUACUGGAUACGACCAACCCUUGCAUGGGGUGUUGGUGGAAAGAUUUAUCGGUGAUGGAUGGACUCGCGGCCUAUCAGCUUGUUGGCGGGGUAAUGGCCCACCAAGGCGACGACGGGUAGCCGGCCUGAGAGGGUGACCGGCCACACUGGGACUGAGACACGGACCAGACUCCUACGGGAGGCAGCAGUGGGAAAUAUGGCACAAUGGGCGAAAGCCUGAUGCAGCGACGCCGCGUGAGGGAUGACGGCCUUCGGGUUGUAAACCUCUUUCAGCAGGGAAGAAGCGAAAGUGACGGUACCUGCAGAAGAAGCACCGGCUAACUACGUG